rnacentral:misc_RNA from 1 species
GUAACAAGGUUUCCGUUGGUGAACCAGCGGAGGGAUCAUUACCGAGUUGCAAAACUCCCUAAACCCACUGUUUAUCUAUUCUGAAAAACGUCUGCUUCGGCGGGCGGCCCCAGGGCGGGGCCGCGGCCGUGCCUGUGGCACGGCGCCCGCCGAAGACGACGAAACUCAAACUCUGUUAUUUCAGUACUACUCUGAGCCUAAAGACAAAUAAUCAAAACUUUCAACAACGGAUCUCUUGGUUCUGGCAUCGAUGAAGAACG